AUGAUACCUCUUCUCCUUCCCACAAAGCCCUCUGCUGCAGGCCACCAAGCUGGAAGUACAGGCUCAUUCCCAUCAAUCCCCCUGAGUCCCCGACCAGCUGUAAGCACAGUUGCUGAUCCUCCUUCCCCAUGGGCCACUCCAACAUGUACCACAAAAACUGUUUCCCCAAUUCCCCACCCCCUAUCAGAGGCCUGGCUGCACCAAACUCAUCAAAUGGUGGAUGCCUCCCAGAACCCUCAGGGUCAAUGUUUGAAUACCUGGGUGCCAGGACAGAUGACAUUGGACAGAAAUGCUGCAGAAAUGGUGUUGAGUCUCCACCUAGGGCCUCCACUUGAUAUGUCCAGGGCCAAACCCCCUGGUGUGGUUCCACUUCUUUUAACAGCCUCCCCUCAAAAGUGGCCUCUCCUUCAGGAUAGCUAUCAACUCAAUGUGCAGCACAGUAUCACACUGACUUCUUGCCUCCUUUCCCAAGGCAUGGUUACA
rnacentral:lncRNA from 1 species